GGUAUCAGAAGUGCGAAUGCUGACAUAAGUAACGAUAAAGCGGGUGAAAAGCCCGCUCGCCGGAAGACCAAGGGUUCCUGUCCAACGUUAAUCGGGGCAGGGUGAGUCGACCCCUAAGGCGAGGCCGAAAGGCGUAGUCGAUGGGAAACGGGUUAAUAUUCCCGUACUUGGUGUUACUGCGAAGGGGGGACGGAGAAGGCUAUGUUGGCCGGGCGACGGUUGUCCCGGUUUAAGCGUGUAGGCUGGUUUUCCAGGCAAAUCCGGAAAAUCAAGGCUGAGGCGUGACGACGAGGCACUACGGUGCUGAAGCAACAAAUGCCCUGCUUCCAGGAAAAGCCUCUAAGCAUCAGGUAACAUCAAAUCGUACCCCAAACCGACACAGGUGGUCAGGUAGAGAAUACCAAGGCGCUUGAGAGAACUCGGGUGAAGGAACUAGGCAAAAUGGUGCCGUAACUUCGGGAGAAGGCACGCUGACACGUAGGUGAAGUGAUUUACUCAUGGAGCUGAAGUCAGUCGAAGAUACCAGCUGGCUGCAACUGUUUAUUAAAAACACAGCACUGUGCAAACACGAAAGUGGACGUAUACGGUGUGACGCCUGCCCGGUGCCGGAAGGUUAAUUGAUGGGGUCAGCGCAAGCGAAGCUCCUGAUCGAAGCCCCGGUAAACGGCGGCCGUAACUAUAACGGUCCUAAGGUAGCGAAAUUCCUUGUCGGGUAAGUUCCGACCUGCACGAAUGGCGUAAUGAUGGCCAGGCUGUCUCCACCCGAGACUCAGUGAAAUUGAACUCGCUGUGAAGAUGCAGUGUACCCGCGGCAAGACGGAAAGACCCCGUGAACCUUUACUAUAGCUUGACACUGAACAUUGAGCCUUGAUGUGUAGGAUAGGUGGGAGGCUUUGAAGUGUGGACGCCAGUCUGCAUGGAGCCGACCUUGAAAUACCACCCUUUAAUGUUUGAUGUUCUAACGUGGACCCGUUACCCGGGUUGCGGACAGUGUCUGGUGGGUAGUUUGACUGGGGCGGUCUCCUCCUAAAGAGUAACGGAGGAGCACGAAGGUUGGCUAAUCCUGGUCGGACAUCAGGAGGUUAGUGCAAUGGCAUAAGCCAGCUUGACUGCGAGCGUGACGGCGCGAGCAGGUGCGAAAGCAGGUCAUAGUGAUCCGGUGGUUCUGAAUGGAAGGGCCAUCGCUCAACGGAUAAAAGGUACUCCGGGGAUAACAGGCUGAUACCGCCCAAGAGUUCAUAUCGACGGCGGUGUUUGGCACCUCGAUGUCGGCUCAUCACAUCCUGGGGCUGAAGUAGGUCCCAAGGGUAUGGCUGUUCGCCAUUUAAAGUGGUACGCGAGCUGGGUUUAGAACGUCGUGAGACAGUUCGGUCCCUAUCUGCCGUGGGCGCUGGAGAACUGAGGGGGGCUGCUCCUAGUACGAGAGGACCGGAGUGGACGCAUCACUGGUGUUCGGGUUGUCAUGCCAAUGGCACUGCCCGGUAGCUAAAUGCGGAAGAGAUAAGUGCUGAAAGCAUCUAAGCACGAAACUUGCCCCGA
rnacentral:rRNA from 1 species